rnacentral:lncRNA from 1 species
CGAGGAGAUGACUUGAGAGAGAUAGCCAAAUAAGUAGCGAUACAAAUAUUCAAGUUUGAAAUUAGUGCAAGAAAUACGGUGUCGUGUGGCACCAGAUAGUCCUGAAAUUCAUGAUGAUUGUUUGUUUAUAUAUAUAUCACACUGACAGCAAAUAGCUUUUACAGUGGUCAAAGUUUUUUUGUUUUUUUUUUGGGUCAUGACCCCAACAAGGAAACAAUCUUCAUCCCUACGACCUACUCGUCGUCUCCUCCUAUGAUAUAUAUAUGUUACAACACCUUUUUUUUUUUUACCAAUUCUUAUAUUCAUGAUGAAUACCAACAGAUAUAUGCCCUAGUCACAAUACUUUUAAAACUAAUACAAAUCUACGCGUGCAAGUGUACCUCUGUGGAUAUAAGAAUGAUGCUUGAGAAUGGUAUUACAUGCGCAUAAUUUAAAAGAGAACUAAUUAAAAGAAGCCGUGGGUGAUCUUAUCAUGGAUAAACCAGCCUGUAUUAUCCAUUAACUUAUAAUAAUUCUUCAGUUAACUUACUGCUACUAAAAUACUUGUGUACGUUCUUUAGUCGCAAAGGACAUGAAUGAGCGAGAGUCAACGAGUAGUCAGUUUCACUAUUGUCAAUAAAUUCAACAAUCAUAAGAGAUUUAUUUAAUCAUAAAAAGGAAAUCUUAAAAUCUAUUUACGUUAUUAUAUAUAAA